rnacentral:rRNA from 1 species
CAAUAGCGUAUAUUAAAGUUGUUGCAGUUAAAAAGCUCGUAGUUGGAUUUCGGAAUGGGCCCGUCGGUCCGCCGCAAGGUGAGUCGCUGACUGGUUUGUUCUUCUUCGCAAAGACUGCGUGUGCUCUUCGCUGAGUGUGCGUAGGAUUUACGACGUUUACUUUGAAAAAAUUAGAGUGUUCAAAGCAGGCUUUAGCUUGAAUACAUGAGCAUGGAAUAAUGGAAUAGGACUUUGGUUCUAUUUUGUUGGUUUCUAGGACCGAAGUAAUGAUUAAGAGGGACAAUUGGGGGCAUCCGUAUUUCGUUGUCAGAGGUGAAAUUCUUGGAUUUACGAAAGACGAACAACUGCGAAAGCACUUGCCAAGAGUGUUUUCAUUAA